AGAACGAACGCUGGCGGCAUGCCUAAUACAUGCAAGUCGAACGAACACUUCGGUGUUAGUGGCGCACGGGUGCGUAACGCGUGGGAAUCUGCCCUUGGGUUCGGAAUAACAGUUGGAAACGACUGCUAAUACCGGAUGAUAUCGAAAGAUCAAAGAUUUAUCGCCCAGGGAUGAGCCCGCGUAGGAUUAGCUAGUUGGUGAGGUAAAGGCUCACCAAGGCGACGAUCCUUAGCUGGUCUGAGAGGAUGAUCAGCCACACUGGGACUGAGACACGGCCCAGACUCCUACGGGAGGCAGCAGUAGGGAAUAUUGCACAAUGGGCGAAAGCCUGAUGCAGCGACGCCGCGUGAGGGAUGAAGGCCUUGGGUGUAAACCUCUUUCAGCAGGGACAAGCGCAAGUGACGGUACUGCAAGAAGAAGCACCGGCUAACUACGAGCCAGCACGCCGAC
rnacentral:rRNA from 1 species